CUUGUUCAUCGCUGGAUCUCCUGCUUGCACCCCAAGAAAGAAAAAAUCAGAGCUGUGUUGUCGCUGCUACAAGAUGACCUGCUGACAGACAGUGUCAGAGACCUCGCUGAGAUUGCUGUAUUGAUCAGAUGGGGUAAAAACCCCUUCACAGUGCAAAUGGACACUUUACAUGAAAGGUGCUGGAGUCAGCAGAAAACCCAACUUGCCCUGAGCUGGCCUCUUAUCAUCACCUUGGUAAACCACUGGAUUUUCCAAAGAUCUGGGUCUGAGGAGUGCCACAUCAAUUUCUCCACCACUGGCUUGUAUCUUUCCCCCUAUUAAUGUUUGGGCUUGAAAGCAUUCCCUUGAUACAUAGCUUGACAUCAAGACAACGUCUGUUCUUAAUAUUACAGAAGACAAUGAGUAAUGCCUGCACAGUCAGCCUAUUCAUUUCAGAUUAAACAAACAAAGACCAGUGUCCCCCUUUUUGCAUUCGCCAGGUCAAUAACGAAAGAGCUAACGAAAGCGAUUACUCAUACCAUGACAGCCCACUCAUGUGAACAUGCCUAAGAGAAGUUGCGGCUCAAUUCAAAAUAAAAAACAACUACCACAAUCCUUUUUGUGUAAAAA